CAUGGGGCACCCGGGACUUGAACCACCAACCUUGCGGUUCCCAGUGCCCCCUCUCUACCCCCGCGCGCCACGUCGCCCCCUUUUAUCCUUCCAGGAGACGUGAAGGAAAGAGCUCCCGGAUUUCGAGAGCCAGUUGAGAGUCAACUGACAUAAUCCCAUCGAAUAAUCGCGUACUGGAAACUCCGAUUGGUUUUUUAUGCACACUAGAAGAACCUGAACCCUGUGAAUCUGAAUGCUGAGAUGGCGAGCUAAACCCGGAUCGUGGAUGCGGUGUGGCCGACCGUAUGAUCAGAC